rnacentral:rRNA from 1 species
GAUGAACGCUGGCGGCGUGCCUAAUACAUGCAAGUCGAGCGAGCGGACGAGAAGCUUGCUUCUCUGAUGUUAGCGGCGGACGGGUGAGUAACACGUGGAUAACCUACCUAUAAGACUGGGAUAACUUCGGGAAACCGGAGCUAAUACCGGAUAAUAUUUUGAACCGCAUGGUUCAAAAGUGAAAGACGGUCUUGCUGUCACUUAUAGAUGGAUCCGCGCUGCAUUAGCUAGUUGGUAAGGUAACGGCUUACCAAGGCAACGAUGCAUAGCUGACCUGAGAGGGUGAUCGGCCACACUGGAACUGAGACACGGUCCAGACUCCUACGGGAGGCAGCAGUAGGGAAUCUUCCGCAAUGGGCGAAAGCCUGACGGAGCAACGCCGCGUGAGUGAUGAAGGUCUUCGGAUCGUAAAACUCUGUUAUUAGGGAAGAACAUAUGUGUAAGUAACUGUGCACAUCUUGACGGUACCUAAUCAGAAAGCCACGGCUAACUACGUG